GCAGUCGAACGAUGAUCUCCAGCUUGCUGGGGGGAUUAGUGGCGAACGGGUGAGUAACACGUGAGUAACCUGCCCUUGACUCUGGGAUAAGCGUUGGAAACGACGUCUAAUACCGGAUAUGACGACCGAUGGCAUCAUCUGGUUGUGGAAAGAAUUUUGGUCAAGGAUGGACUCGCGGCCUAUCAGGUAGUUGGUGAGGUAAUGGCUCACCAAGCCUACGACGGGUAGCCGGCCUGAGAGGGUGACCGGCCACACUGGGACUGAGACACGGCCCAGACUCCUACGGGAGGCAGCAGUGGGGAAUAUUGCACAAUGGGCGAAAGCCUGAUGCAGCAACGCCGCGUGAGGGACGACGGCCUUCGGGUUGUAAACCUCUUUUAGUAGGGAAGAAGCGAAGUGUUUUACAUGGAGUGACGGUACCUGCAGAAAAAGCACCGGCUAACUACGUGCCAGCAGCCGCGGUAAUACGUAGGGUGCAAGCGUUGUCCGGAAUUAUUGGGCGUAAAGAGCUCGUAGGCGGUUUGUCGCGUCUGCUGUGAAAACUGGAGGCUCAACCUCCAGCCUGCAGUGGGUACGGGCAGACUAGAGUGCGGUAGGGGAGAUUGGAAUUCCUGGUGUAGCGGUGGAAUGCGCAGAUAUCAGGAGGAACACCGAUGGCGAAGGCAGAUCUCUGGGCCGUAACUGACGCUGAGGAGCGAAAGCAUGGGGAGCGAACAGGAUUAGAUACCCUGGUAGUCCAUGCCGUAAACGUUGGGAACUAGAUGUAGGGGCCAUUCCACGGUUUCUGUGUCGCAGCUAACGCAUUAAGUUCCCCGCCUGGGGAGUACGGCCGCAAGGCUAAAACUCAAAGGAAUUGACGGGGGCCCGCACAAGCGGCGGAGCAUGCGGAUUAAUUCGAUGCAACGCGAAGAACCUUACCAAGACUUGACAUAUACGAGAACGGGCCAGAAAUGGUCAACUCUUUGGACACUCGUAAACAGGUGGUGCAUGGUUGUCGUCAGCUCGUGUCGUGAGAUGUUGGGUUAAGUCCCGCAACGAGCGCAACCCUCGUUCUAUGUUGCCAGCACGUUAUGGUGGGAACUCAUAGGAGACUGCCGGGGUCAACUCGGAGGAAGGUGGGGAUGACGUCAAAUCAUCAUGCCCCUUAUGUCUUGGGCUUCACGCAUGCUACAAUGGCCGGUACAAAGGGCUGCAAUACCGUAAGGUGGAGCGAAUCCCAAAAAGCCGGUCUCAGUUCGGAUUGAGGUCUGCAACUCGACCUCAUGAAGUCGGAGUCGCUAGUAAUCGCAGAUCAGCAACGCUGCGGUGAAUACGUUCCCGGGCCUUGUACACACCGCCCGUCAAGUCAUGAAAGUCGGUAACACCCAACGCCAGUGGCCUAACCCGUGAGGGAGGGA
rnacentral:rRNA from 1 species